ACAAGGGUUGAGUAAACAACAUAGCGAAAAUCAUCUGUCACUGGAAACAUAGCGAAAGUCGCUGACUGUAGUUCCGGUCAAACACACACGAGGCAGAUACAAGUGAUUCGUUGGGCCGACAGCAGCUACCAAAGUUUUCAGGUCCGGAAAAUCCGAACCUAAAAGUGAUCCGGCCGAAACAAAUACUGCCAGUUCGACAGCCCCUUAAGUCGGGGACGGCGCUAAUCGAUCCCAAAAGUGCUCCCGCCGAAACAAAUACUGCCAGUUCGACAGCCCCUUAAGUCGGGGACGGCGCUAAUCCAACCUAAAAGUGCUCCCGCCGAAACAAAUACUCCCAGUUCGACAGACCCUCAAGUCGGGGACGGCGCUAAUCCUUCCGCCGCAGGCAUUCCUUGCGUUCGAGGACCAUUUUCGAUCGCCGCAUCAAGGCCCAGCCGAAGACAGACGGCCCAGCCGAAGACAGACGGCCCAGCUGAAGACAGACGAAAAGCCUUCUGGAUCAGAAGGCUUUUUCUUUACUGUGGCUGGAGUAGCGGAAAUUCAAGAUCUGAGCACGAGGGAGUACGACUGCCAACCGGAUUGCAUGACUUCGGGAUUCGAGUGCGAGCGAGCACGACUAUCGACCGGAUCGCACGCCUUUGGGGACCCGAGCGCGAGCAAGUGCGAUUGCCGGUUGGAUUUCAUGGGAAGAGCAGGAGAUUGGGCGUGUUACUUUGAGCGAGCCACGAGUCAAACCAAGAAUUCGCGGGAGACGACGACCUCAGUGGGCCGCCAGAUCGGAGCUGUGAAGGGAUACUAGCUAGUCGUCGAGGCGAGCUGUGGCAGACGGCCUUAAGGAACGUCGGAAGCCUUGGAACAGCCAACAGCAGGAGAUUCCGGAGGAUCACGGUGACGUCCGGAUGGUUUGGGUGCACCCAGAAGAACCGUGAGUAGGAAGAAAGAGAAUGAAGAGAAAGAAUAAGAAAGAAGUUAGAGAAGCAGGGUGCUAGGUAGCUAGAACAGAGAGGAUGUUUGUGGCCCGGAAGUCGUAAUAAAGCUUGCACAGUAUGUUAUGAA